UGGUCACUUAAUUUCUAAUAAUACCGGCGCCUAAAGAGCAACGCUCGACCAUAGACCUUUACUCCGGCAAACACACUCUACACAGUCCAGAGAGUUGAACUCGACCAGGGUAAGUCCCAAAUUUAUCUUUUUCUACCUGUCUCAGAUUCAUACCGGUGCGCCCGCGGUCCUGAUGCAACUCAUAUUGUCAAUAAUGUAGAAAAUGAUAUUAUAUAUAUAUAUAUAUAUGAAUAGUAAUUAAAUAAAUAAUUUAAAUCUUAAAUUAUUUAAUCAGAAUUGCUAUAUAAAAUUUUAGCAUAUGACACAUGUACAGCAGAUAUAUGACUUUAACUCACAGUUUUGACGACCUCCUUGCUCUGCUCCUAAGUCUCAAGUGGAGCGAGCUGAAAUUACGGAUUAUCUAAUCACGGGAACAAUUCAAUCAAUAAAAGUAAACCAUUUAACAAAUAACCCUAGGCCUAGACUCCUAGGACUUACUAUCUAAGAAUUUCGACUCGGAUAAAUUCAAACGAGAAUUCGGCAAAACCUCCUCUAAAUACAAAUUUCUACCUCCCGUAUAACGGGUCCAGGACCUGCCAGAAACACUUCUAAUAUUCAACAAUUAAUAAACGAGAGUUGGGCCACCAAAACUACAACAUUUUUCCCGAUUCUCAACACAUCACAUAUUACAAUUAUUGGCAGAUGGUUCGAUAUACUAUUAUUUCGACAAUCAAUCCUCACAUAAUUUUUCUAGUGUUCAACACUAUAAUUAAUCAAAUAAUUUUUUAUCAACAAACUCUAAAACUAACAAGCUAGAGAAUUAUUAAGACGCUGAUCAAUCGGUCGACUCGCCUCCAGCUGCCGGAGUCCAAUUGACGAUCCGAGUGCGCCUACGGACUCGAGAGACCGCGUAGAUGAUGAUUCUAGCACCCGAUCCUCCGGUCCAACCCCGGAUCAUCUGGAGAAAUCCACGGACGAUCUCGGCCAUCGAUUUUCAAGCGGAGUCCGAUCGCUGCAAAACUAGUGCUAUUGUAAAGCUUGAGCUAAGGGGAGCCCAGAUAUGUCUUCUAAUCGGCCAUCCCUCGCCGGAACUUGCCGAAAAAAGCCUAAAAUCCAUGCCGCCCCUACACUAUUUAUCUCGCUGGAACUCUCUCCUCCAGCCACCUUCAACGCUGCUACUGCCCCCAAAAGAAAGCCUACACUCAGGCGAGUUGAUCGCCACCGAAAUCACCUGUCGCCAUUAUCGGGAACGCCUUGAAUGGCGUCGAAAAGCUACUGCUGCUUUCUUCGCUGCUCACUGCCGCCGCCGCCGCCUACUAGAGCUGCUGCUGCUGAUGCCAUCACGCUCGCUGGCCUCCGCUGCACCUCCGGCCAGCUUCGCCGCGCCCCAGACGGACAAUUCUUCUGUCUACCAUGGACGGCAGCCGAAGGUUCCUUCUCCUUCUUCUUCUUCUUCCCGUCACUCUUCUCUUUUCUUUCUUUCCUUAUUGCCACUUGGUCUUCCAACUUUUGUUUAAUAACCAUUUAGUCCCUCAUUCUUUUUAAUUAUUAACAAUUUUCUCCUAUAAAAUGUCUAUUUAACCCUCCAACUUUUCUAUAGCAUUUCAAUUAAGUCCCUAACUACUUAAUUUGGGCCAAAUUAAAAUUAUUAAAAAUAGAGAGUUACUUAAUUACCCUUGCUUUUAAUGGUAAAAUUACUAAAAUGCCCUUACCGACAUAUUUAAUUACAAAAAUACCAACCAUGAAAAUUCUCAUUUAAACCCCAUAUUAAA
rnacentral:lncRNA from 1 species